rnacentral:rRNA from 1 species
UACGUAGGGUGCAAGCGUUAAUCGGAAUUACUGGGCGUAAAGUGUGCGCAGGCGGCCGCGCAAGUCGAGUGUGAAAUCCCCGAGCUUAACUUGGGAAUUGCGCUCGAAACUACGUGGCUGGAGUGUGGCAGAGGAAGGUGGAAUUCCACGUGUAGCGGUGAAAUGCGUAGAGAUGUGGAGGAACACCGAUGGCGAAGGCAGCCUUCUGGGCCAACACUGACGCUCAUGCACGAAAGCGUGGGGAGCAAACAGG